UGUGAAGGCAGUAAAGGCUCAUCAGGAACAAAACAAAACAAAACAAAACAAAACAAAACAAGACAAAACAAAACAAAACAGCAUGGUCAAUGAAUGCCAAAAAAGGUCUCUACAUUAAAUCAGGCUUGUGGGACAAGACACUAUUCAAAGGAAUGGGAGAAGCACUGAUCCAGAGGUUCCAACACUGUGAUCUGCAACGAACUGGGCUUCAGUGAUCAACAGUCUCCUCAAGACUUAAUCUGUCGGGAAUUUUAUGUGCCCAUGGUCGGCUUCAUCUGUCUUCCAGACAGAGUGAUAAAAAGUGGAAUCACAGCUAAUGGAGUCCCAUGCAGGUUGCUCUGCUCACAGGAGGACAUUAGGAGGAGAGUGGAUCACUUAAUCUUUCAUCAAGGGUUUUGCUGGUUUCAUAUAACUACAACAGUUAUGUGUAUGAAUCUUGAGAAGCCAAACUGGAGAAAAAAAUAUCCAAUCUUAAUAUGGCACCAGGCCACACCAAGACCAGAUGGAGAGAGAAAGAAGCUGUGGUGUUAAAAAGAGUAAUGAGACUGACCUCUUCUGAGUGAGUGCAGUGCUGAUCUAAUUGGAGAGUCCAAUAUUGCUGCUGAGAAGACUCCUGAUACCCACAAAAUAAAGAUUCAAGGCAAAGACGAUCGGAGCUUUCUCGAGAACCAUGCAGUUUGAUUAGCAACUUUUCUCGACCUUUCUCCUCAUGCACAUUAAACCUGUCUGUUAUCUAUUGCCCAAGAUUUUUUCCUUCAAGUCUAUGCUGGACUAUUUUUUAACUGGAUAUUAUCUCCAUAAAAGAUAUUGGAGACCCCAGGGUUCUGAUUUUCCUAUGCUCCUCAAGGAUGCAGAAAAAACACCUUAAACACAUCGGUUCUGGUAGUUACAGAGGAUGACUGUACAGCUCUCUGUACAGAGGCGCUGUUAUUAAACUUUUCUUGUAAAAAAAGAUUCUCUGCACUUAACACCCCAGCCUUUUGAUUCCCCAUUCAAUCUCUCUCCAUCACCUGCUGCCACCUGCUCAACACUCU
rnacentral:lncRNA from 1 species